rnacentral:misc_RNA from 1 species
UAUAGGCAUACGACCA